GACGAACGCUGGCGGCGUGCUUAACACAUGCAAGUCGAACGAAGUGGCGAACGGGUGAGUAACGCGUAAUCAACAUGCCCUUCAGAGGGGGACAACAGUUGGAAACGACUGCUAAUACCGCAUACUGAAGGAGGGGCUUGCGUCUGAUUAGCUAGUUGGAGGGGUAACGGCACACCAAGGCGAUGAUCAGUCGCCGGUCUGAGAGGAUGAACGGCCAAAGUGGGAAUGAGACACGGGCCAGAAGCCUACGGGAGGCAGCAGUGGGGAAUCUGCCGCAAUGGACGAAAGGCUGACGGAGCAACGCCGCGUGAGUGAUGACGGCCUUCGGGUUGGAAAGCUCUGUUAAUCGGGACGCGGUACCGGAAUAGAAAGCCACGGCUAACUACGUGCCAGCAGCCGCGGUAAUAC
rnacentral:rRNA from 1 species